rnacentral:misc_RNA from 1 species
GGAGGAGAGAAAACUGAUGGGAUUUAAGUGGAUAUUUGUACUGUCACUUGCACUUCUCCAAGCGGCUUACUAUCGAAGAUUGAAAUGGUCUGUUCUGAAGUCUCGAAGGCUGGUGCUUGAUGUUGUAAAUUAGUCUACUGUCUAUUAAAUGGUGUGAGGCAAAAUAACACUCAGUAAUGCUUGUGUUAGAUCUAGGUAUUUAUUUUUCAUAUGUGAGAAGAUGGUAACGCGUAGAUAUGCCAAAUUGAGAUGAAUCGCAAGAAUAAUUGCAUUAUUUUUUUUCCCUAAAAAAANNNNNNNNUUAAAUGAUACGCAAUAUGCUAUCUGUUUAAAUAGUAUCAUACAAGCAUUACUGAGUGUUA